rnacentral:rRNA from 1 species
GCCUACGGGAGGCAGCAGUGAGGAAUAUUGGUCAAUGGCCGAGGGGCUGAACCAGCCAAGUCGCGUGAGGGAUGACGGCCCUACGGGUUGUAAACCUCUUUUGUCGGAGAACAAAACCCGGGACGAGUCCCGGACUGCGUGUAUCCGAAGAAAAAGCAUCGGCUAACUCCGUGCCAGCAGCCGCGGUAAUACGGAGGAUGCGAGCGUUAUCCGGAUUUAUUGGGUUUAAAGGGUGCGUAGGCGGUCCGUUAAGUCAGCGGUAAAAUUGCGGGGCUCAACCCCGUCGAGCCGUUGAAACUGGCAGA